AGCAGUUCUAGAACCUAGGGCUGGACAAUAAUUCAACAUCAAUAUGUAUCGCGAUAUAGUUUUUUUCAAUAACGGUGAAAUUUUUAAACACAUUUCCGAUAUUUUUAUAUACAUUACCAGUGUUUCCCAUACAUUGAUUUAUUUGUAGCAUUUGACUUUGUUGAAAUAUUUGUCGAAUAUAAAAUUUAUUUGAAGAUUCUUUCUUUUCAGAUUCUUAUUUAGAGCUUUAUCAUAAUAGACUGUAUAUUAACUUAUUGGGAGAAAAAUGGUAGUUAGGCUAUAUGUGAAAUCAGACAUUUGAGCUCCCCCAUAUAGUCAAAAUGGCAUAAUCAUAAAACCCCGCGAAUAUCCGACUGUGAGAUUGGUAGUCCAAUCCUCGAAUCGAAGCAUCGAAUCGUCGACUUUUCGGGGUCACCCCUAGUCUCAUCAGACUUUUUUAUGCGUUUUUACAGCGUUACACAUUUUAACCAAUCACACAUGAUUCUGUUGAGUUUAUGAACACAAUGGCCAAUAAGAGGCGUCCACAUUAGUCAUUGCUGAAACCUUGGAGUUUUUGCAGGCAUGCUAAAUGAAUCUCAUUCCAGUUUUCACAUCAUAAGCAACAAAGUGCAUAUGUAUGAAUUUCGUAAGAAAUUCAUUUAUCAUACAGUGUAUGGACAGCUUCAUUGAUGAUUAUAACAGGAUCUCUGGCUAGAGUGAAGUCAGUGAUAAUUCUUUAAUGCGAAUGUUCUUUGCUCGCUUUCUCCAUAAUUUACUCGCUUUUUGAAUAACUAUGUUAAUGAAAGCAUUAUAAUUUGUAACUUAGAAUGUUUUUAUUGAGUUGUGAUCACUUUAAAUACAAAUUAAGUCAUAUUAAACUAUUUAACUGUAAAAUCCUAUAGUUUACCUUACUUAGAUAUAAUUAGUUAUCUUGACUUAGUUGUUAUACUUACUAGGCUUUAUUAAGUUACAGCCAUUUUACAGUGAGUAAAACAACUAACUUACAACUAUGAGUAACUGUUACUUAAAAUAUUCAAGUAGCCACAACAAAACCGAUGACAUUAAUUCACCAGUGAGAGGCAGCAGUGCGCUAAUGUGUUGCUAAUGUGCAACAAAACAACAGAAGAAGAAAUAAGGGCGGUAAGAGCGCACGGGCAACAAGCAACAUUUUGAAUUUGUGUGCCGAAUUUGCUGAAACUGGGAAAAAGGAGAGAGACUGCUUGCAUUUUACCUCUGGACAAAGACUGAUUACUUAUACAUAUAAUAAUAAGUGUGUGGAUGUAUCUUUCUGUGUGCUGCCAAUUUUAAUUGACUAACAUUAACUCCUUGUCAGCACCAGUGUUAGCUAACAGGCAGCAAAGAUCUUUGCUAUUCUGCUAUUAGAACAAAAACUAGAGAAAUACAGAACUUGUGGCAUAUUUUGUUGAAUUUAAUUUCUCAAAUUGAAAAUGUGUUGCUAGUUAAAAAUUAAAGCAUAAAAAAAUUCAGAGGUACAAUUCAAAACAUGCCAAAAGUCGUCAAGAUGAGCUCACAGUAGGUUUUAAAAUCAAUCUUUAUGUGCCACUGAUAGUAUUAAUUGUUAACAGUAAUCUUUGGCAAUGUUUCCUCUUUUAUAACACUGUGAGGCUUUGGCCACUUUUUAGGUUAAAGUCAUUUUUCAAUUUACAAUUUAUUGUCAAUAUUUUAAUACAUCACAAUCAUAGUCAUUACGUGAUCACAAAUUUACAGUUUAAACUGAAUGAGCUCAUUGUCUUGCAGUAAUUAUUUCUCUGCUGUGUUGAGACACUUAGUACUGUAACAGAAGAAAUGCUGCUUUUGAAUUGGUUUUACAACUAAGGCCUCAAGUAGAUAUGUAUUGAAAAUUUCUCUUCUUUCUUUCUUUCUUUUUCUUUCUUUCUUUUUCUUUCUUUCUUUUUUUCUUUCUUUCUUUCUUUCAUUUUAUUGUAAAACAUGCAAAUAUCAAGGAAUGAAUGUGUCUGUAAUCUACAAUUCACAACAGUAGUGGAACUUGCCUUUAUCUGAAGAAUUAUUUGUCAUAUUUAGAAAAAGUACUUGUGGCAACUGUCUUCUCUGAAGAGCGAUCUUGUGAACACCAGCCUCAGUACAAUGAGGUUGUUUCGCUAGAUAAGACCCUUCUUCCUCGUCUGGGAUCGUGUAGAACGCUUUGAAGCUGCAAUUUGGACCUUCCACCCAGUGAACCCCACUGAAGUCUACUAUAUAGAGAAAAACACUGGAAUGUUUUCCUCAAAAAACUUAAAUUCUUUUCAACUGAAGAAAGAAAGACAUGAACAUCUUGGAUGACAUGGGGAACCCAGAUUUGUGCAAACCCAUCUGAGGCCUACCUGUUUUACUUUGCGGUUACCCCACAUACUUCUACAACUAACCCGCUUUGUGUCUGAUGUUGAUGCAGUCUGGGCACUAGUAUCUGUUGGCUUGCUGGCUUUCACUGAAGAAGAAGUACUUCUCCAAAUCUUAUCUGCCUUGACCCUGUGUCUUCUGCCAUCAUUGUUCAGGGUAGUACUGUAAAGAACAGUCUCCCGGGUCCACCUCAACCAUUUGCUUCUGGACCACCAUUUGGAUUACUGGUACAUUUGGAUUACCCUAAUACUGUGAAGAACACUUACAAUAUGAUGCUUGACUUGGGACAGAAAAAAAACCUAUUGGCAAAAUUGCCAACUCAUUGCCAUAGUUAAACUCAUCGUACUGCUACCUCCACUGUUUAGCAUACCAUAAAUCAGACUGUUUUUGCUUUGUUUCAAAAUGUUUGUAAUACAAAUUAAAACUGCAUUGAAAAAUAUAAAAAAUACAUUACCUUUAACUUUGAACUGUCACUACCUUAGAUUUAUGUGUAAUUAUGUGUGUGAAGAAUAGAACAUUGUUGUCAGUAAUUUGUAAUGGAUGUUUGAUGCACUUAAGUUACUGGAGUAACGCUUACUUGUUUUUUUAAAGGCAAUCAGUUUGCAUGCUUUCAGCAAGUAAACUAGAUUGCUGUUCAAGUAAAUACAACUUAGAAAUUCAAAGUUGCAGGAAAUGUUACUUGAGUGAGCUCAACUUAAAUGAGAAGUUUGAAAUAUGCACAUAGUAUAUUCUACUUAAUCAUUUAGUUGUUGAAAAUAAUGAUUCUGAGUUACCAGAACUUGCGUGUAAUUUUACAACACUAAAUAAACCUUUGUUAGUACAAAUUACUAUUCUUAUAUCACUUUACUUGG